CCCUUAGAUGUUCUGGGCCGCACGCGCGCUACACUGAUUCAUGCAACAAGUUUUGUCCUUGGCUGAUAGGCCUGGGUAAUCUUUGAACGUGAAUCGUGAUGGGGAUAGACUUUUGCAAUUUUUGGUCUUCAACGAGGAAUUCCUAGUAAACGCAAGUCAUCAACUUGCAUUGAUUACGUCCCUGCCCUUUGUACACACCGCCCGUCGCACCUACCGAUUGAAUGGUCCGGUGAAGCCUCCGGAUUGGCGCGCACCUCGGUGCCGCCGAGAAGUUGGCUAAACCUUACCAUUUAGAGGAAGGUGAAGUCGUAACA
rnacentral:rRNA from 1 species